UGUGUUGUGUUCCUGCCGGUGAGUAAGGUCGCCGGAGCUCAACGAGGGUGCAGAGUGUUAGGGUCGGCAACGCGCAUGUAACACCUCUGGAGUUGCAGGCGUUCAUAGGCUACGGUGACUGCUUACCAUCAGGCGGGCCGUAUGCUU